AAACACCAAGUGGCGAACGGGUGAGUAACGCGUAAGCAAUCUACCUUCAAGAUGGGGACAACACUUCGAAAGGGGUGCUAAUACCGAAUGAAUGUAAGAGUAUCGCAUGAGACACUUACUAAAGGAGGCCUCUGACAUAAGCUUCCGCUUGAAGAUGAGCUUGCGUCUGAUUAGCUAGUUGGUGAGGGUAAAGGCCCACCAAGGCGACGAUCAGUAGCCGGUCUGAGAGGAUGAACGGCCACAUUGGGACUGAGACACGGCCCAGACUCCUACGGGAGGCAGCAGUGGGGAAUCUUCCGCAAUGGGCGAAAGCCUGACGGAGCAACGCCGCGUGAACGAAGAAGGUCUUAGGAUCGUAAAGUUCUGUUGUUAGGGACGAAGGGUAAGAAUCAUAAUAAGGUUUUUAUUUGACGGUACCUAACGAGGAAGCCACGGCUAACUACGUGCCAGCAGCCGCGGUAAUACGUAGGCGGUAAGCGUUGUCCGGAAUUAUUGGGCGUAAAGGGAGCGCAGGCGGGAAACUAAGCGGAUCUUAAAAGUGCGGGGCUCAACCCCGUGAUGGGGUCCGAACUGGUUUUCUUGAGUGCAGGAGAGGAAAGCGGAAUUCCCAGUGUAGCGGUGAAAUGCGUAGAUAUUGGGAAGAACACCAGUGGCGAAGGCGGCUUUCUGGACUGUAACUGACGCUGAGGCUCGAAAGCUAGGGUAGCGAACGGGAUUAGAUACCCCGGUAGUCCUAGCCGUAAACGAUGGAUACUAGGUGUGGGAGGUAUCGACCCCUUCCGUGCCGGAGUUAACGCAAUAAGUAUCCCGCCUGGGGAGU
rnacentral:rRNA from 1 species